rnacentral:rRNA from 1 species
AUUGAACGCUGGCGGAACGCUUUACACAUGCAAGUCGAGCGGCAGCAUGGGGGCAACCCUGGUGGCGAGCGGCGAACGGGUGAGUAAUACAUCGGAACAUGCCCAGUCGUGGGGGAUAACACUUUGAAAGAAGUGCUAAUACCGCAUACGUCCUGAGGGAGAAAGCGGGGGAUCUUCGGACCUCGCGCGAUUGGAGUGGCCGAUGUCAGAUUAGCUAGUUGGUGGGGUAAAGGCCUACCAAGGCAACGAUCUGUAGCUGGUCUGAGAGGAUGAUCAGCCACAUGGGGACUGAGACCCGGCCCAGACUCCUACGGGAGGCAGCAGUGGGGAAUUUUGGACAAUGGGGGCAACCCUGAUCCAGCCAUUCCGCGGGAGUGAAGAAGGCCUUCGGGUUGUAAAGCUCUUUCGGCAGGAACGAAACGGCGAGCUCUAACAUAGCUUGCUAAUGACGGUACCUGAAGAAGAAGCACCGGCUAACUACGUGCCAGCCGCCGCCGUAAUAC